ACGGAAGGCAGCAGUGGGGAAUAUUGGGCAAUGGGGGCAACCCUGACCCAGCAACGCCGCGUGAAGGAAGAAGGCCUUCGGGUUGUAAACUUCUUUUAUAAGGGACGAAGAAAGUGACGGUACCUUAUGAAUAAGCCACGGCUAACUACGUGCCAGCAGCCGCGGUAAUACGUAGGUGGCGAGCGUUGUCCGGAUUUACUGGGUGUAAAGGGCGCGUAGGCGGGAUGGCAAGUCAGAUGUGAAAUCUAGGGGCUCAACCCCUAAACUGCAUUUGAAACUGUCGUUCUUGAGUAUCGGAGAGGCAAGCGGAAUUCCUAGUGUAGCGGUGAAAUGCGUAGAUAUUAGGAGGAACACCAGUGGCGAAGGCGGCUUGCUGGACGACAACUGACGCUGAGGCGCGAAAGCGUGGGGAGCAAACAGGAUUAGAUACCCUGGUA
rnacentral:rRNA from 1 species